rnacentral:rRNA from 1 species
UGCAGUCGAGGGGUAACAGGAAAGCUUGCUUUCGCUGACGACCGGCGCACGGGUGCGUAACGCGUAUGCAACCUACCUCAUACUGGAGGAUAGCCCCUGGAAACGGGGAUUAAUACUCCAUAGUAUCACGAAUUCGCAUGUUUUUGUGAUUAAAGUUUUUCGGUAUGAGAUGGGCAUGCGUCCCAUUAGCUUGUUGGUGAGGUAACGGCUCACCAAGGCAACGAUGGGUAGGGGGCCUGAGAGGGUGGUCCCCCACACUGGUACUGAGACACGGACCAGACUCCUACGGGAGGCAGCAGUGAGGAAUAUUGGUCAAUGGAGGCAACUCUGAACCAGCCAUGCCGCGUGAAGGAUGACGGCCCUAUGGGUUGUAAACUUCUUUUAUAGAGGAAGAAACUUGUCUACGUGUAGACAACUGACGGUACUCUACGAAUAAGGAUCGGCUAACUCCGUGCCAGCAGCCGCGGUAAUACGGAGGAUCCAAGCGUUAUCCGGAUUCAUUGGGUUUAAAGGGUCCGUAGGCGGGUCUUUAAGUCAGUGGUGAAAGCCGACAGCUCAACUGUCGAACUGCCAUUGAUACUGGAGACCUUGAGUACAAAUGAAGUAGGCGGAAUAAGUCAUGUAGCGGUG